rnacentral:rRNA from 1 species
GGGCCGCAGGGGGUCUAACUGCAGUCGAAGAUGAUCCCCGUCUUGCUGGGGGGAUUAGUGGCGAACGGGUGAGUAACACGUGAGUAACCUGCCCUUGACUCUGGGAUAAGCCUGGGAAACUGGGUCUAAUACCGGAUAUGACUCCUCAUCGCAUGGUGGGGGGUGGAAAGCUUUUUUGUGGUUUUGGAUGGACUCGCGGCCUAUCAGCUUGUUGGUGAGGUAAUGGCUUACCAAGGCGACGACGGGUAGCCGGCCUGAGAGGGUGACCGGCCACACUGGGACUGAGACACGGCCCAGACUCCUACGGGAGGCAGCAGUGGGGAAUAUUGCACAAUGGGCGAAAGCCUGAUGCAGCGACGCCGCGUGAGGGAUGACGGCCUUCGGGUUGUAAACCUCUUUCAGUAGGGAAGAAGCGAAAGUGACGGUACCUGCAGAAGAAGCGCCGGCUAACUACGUGCCAGCAGCCGCGGUAAUACGUAGGGCGCAAGCGUUAUCCGGAAUUAUUGGGCGUAAAGAGCUCGUAGGCGGUUUGUCGCGUCUGCCGUGAAAGUCCGGGGCUCAACUCCGGAUCUGCGGUGGGUACGGGCAGACUANAGUGAUGUAGGGGAGACUGGAAUUCCUGGUGUAGCGGUGAAAUGCGCAGAUAUCAGGAGGAACACCGAUGGCGAAGGCAGGUCUCUGGGCAUUAACUGACGCUGAGGAGCGAAAGCAUGGGGAGCGAACAGGAUUAGAUACCCUGGUAGUCCAUGCCCGUAACGUUGGGCACUAAGUGUGGGGGACAUUCCACGUUUUCCGCGCCGUAACUAACGCAUUAAGUGCCCCGCCCGGGGAGUACGGCCGCCAGGCUAAAACCUCAAGGAAUGACGGGGGCCCGCACCAACGGCGGAACAUGCGGAUAAUUCUAUGCAACCCCAAGAACCUACCAAGCUUGACAUGGACUGAAAU